rnacentral:rRNA from 1 species
UACAGAGGUCUCAAGCGUUGUUCGGAAUCGCUGGGCGUAAAGGGUGCGUAGGUGGCGUGGAAAGUCAGAUGCGAAAGCCCGGGGCUCAACCUCGGAAUAGCAUCCGAUACUCCCAUGCUAGAGUACUGAAGAGGUGACUAGAAUUCUCGGUGUAGCAGUGAAAUGCGUAGAUAUCGAGAGGAAUACCAACGGCGAAGGCAGGUCACUGGGCAGUUACUGACACUGAGGCACGAAGGCCAGGGGAGCAAACGGG